rnacentral:rRNA from 1 species
ACCCGCUGAACUUAAGCAUAUCAAUAAGCGGAGGAAAAGAAACUAACAAGGAUUCCCCUAGUAACGGCGAGUGAAGCGGGAACAGCUCAAAUUUGAAAUCUCACAGGGUUACCUGUGCGAAUUGUAGUUUAUAGAAACGUUUUCGGGGGUGGCUCUGGCAUAAGUCCUUUGGAAUAAGGCAUCAUAGAGGGUGAGAAUCCCGUUUAUGGUCAGGUGUCCGCUUCUAUGUGAUACGUUUUCUAAGAGUCGGUUUGUUUGGGAAUGCAGACCAAAAUGGGUGGUAAAUACCAUCUAAAGCUAAAUAUUGGCGAGAGACCGAUAGCGAACAAGUACCGUGAGGGAAAGAUGAAAAGAACUUUGAAAAGAGAGUUAAAAGUACGUGAAAUUGUCAAAAGGGAAACGCUUGAAACCAGUAUUGCGUUCAGGUAAUCAGCCGUUCCUUCUGGGGCGGUGCACUUGCCUGUUUGCGGGUCAACAUCAGUUUGGUUCGGGAUAAAAAGCCUUGAGAAGGUAGCCCUUCGGGGUGUUAUAGCUCUUGGUCAUGUCUCGGGCUGGACUGAGGUCUGCAGUGUUAUUUGGGUAGCCAGUCGCCUC